rnacentral:rRNA from 1 species
GACGAACGCUGGCGGCGUGCUUAACACAUGCAAGUCGAACGGUGAACCUCUUCGGAGGGGAUCAGUGGCGAACGGGUGAGUAACACUUGGGCAACCUUCCCCCGGCUCUGGGAUAACUCCAAGAAAUGGGGGCUAAGACCGGAUGUUCACCGCUGCCCGCGUUGGAGGUUGUGAAAAGGGAUUCCGGCUGGGGAUGGGCCCGCGGCCUAUCAGCUUGUUGGUGGGGUAGUGGCCUACCAAGGCGACGACGGGUAGCCGGCCUGAGAGGGGAACCGGCCACACUGGGACUGAGACACGGCCCAGACUCCUACGGGAGGCAGCAGGGGGGAAUAUUGCGCAAUGGGCGGAAGCCUGACGCAGCGACGCCGCGUGGGGGAUGACGGCCUUCGGGUUGUAAACCUCUUUCAGCAGGGACGAAGCGCAAGUGACGGUACCUGCAGAAGAAGCACCGGCCAACUACGUG